rnacentral:rRNA from 1 species
CUAAGGUCCCAAAGUAUAGCUAAGUGGGAAACGAUGUGGGAAGGCUCAGACAGCCAGGAUGUUGGCUUAGAAGCAGCCAUCAUUUAAAGAAAGCGUAAUAGCUCACUGGUCGAGUCGGCCUGCGCGGAAGAUGUAACGGGGCUAAGCUAUACACCGAAGCUGCGGCUACGCACUAUGUGCGUGGGGUAGGGGAGCGUUCUGUAAGCCGUUGAAGGUGGUCUGUAAGGGCUGCUGGAGGUAUCAGAAGUGCGAAUGCUGACAUGAGUAACGAUAAAGGGAGUGAAAAACUCCCUCGCCGGAAGACCAAGGGUUCCUGUCCAACGUUAAUCGGGGCAGGGUAAGUCGACCCCUAAGGCGAGGCCGAAAGGCGUAGUCGAUGGGAAACGGGUUAAUAUUCCCGUACUUCUUACAAUUGCGAUGGGGGGACGGAGAAGGCUAGGUGGGCCUGGCGACGGUUGUCCAGGUUCAAGUGCGUAGGCGGAAGAAUUAGGUAAAUCCGGUUCUUCUUAACGCUGAGAUACGAUGUCGAGCUACUACGGUAGUGAAGUCAUUGAUGCCAUGCUUCCAGGAAAAGCCUCUAAGCUUCAGAUUGUAAGGAAUCGUACCCCAAACCGACACAGGUGGUCGGGUAGAGAAUACCAAGGCGCUUGAGAGAACUCGGGUGAAGGAACUAGGCAAAAUGGUACCGUAACUUCGGGAGAAGGUACGCUCUUAUCAGUGAAGUCCCUUGCGGAUGGAGCAGACGAGAGUCGCAGAUACCAGGUGGCUGCAACUGUUUAUCAAAAACACAGCACUGUGCAAAAUCGUAAGAUGACGUAUACGGUGUGACGCCUGCCCGGUGCCGGAAGGUUAAUUGAUGGGGUUAGACUUCGGUCGAAGCUCUUGAUCGAAGCCCCGGUAAACGGCGGCCGUAACUAUAACGGUCCUAAGGUAGCGAAAUUCCUUGUCGGGUAAGUUCCGACCUGCACGAAUGGCGUAAUGAUGGCCACGCUGUCUCCACCCGAGACUCAGUGAAAUUGAAAUCGCUGUGAAGAUGCAGUGUACCCGCGGCUAGAC